GAUGAACGCUAGCGGCAGGCUUAAUACAUGCAAGUCGAGGGGUAACAGGUCUGUAGCAAUACAGAUGCUGACGACCGGCAAACGGGUGCGGAACACGUACAGAACCUUCCUUCGAGUGGGAGAUAGCCAAGGGAAACUUGGAGUAAUAUCCCAUAGGAUCAUAGAGUGGCAUCACUUAGUGAUUAAAGAUUUACAGCUUGAAGAUGGCUGUGCGGCUGAUUAGGUAGUUGGUGUAGGAAACGGCUCACCAAGCCUUCGAUCAGUAACUGGUGUGAGAGCACGACCAGUCACACGGGCACUGAGACACGGGCCCGACUCCUACGGGAGGCAGCAGUAAGGAAUAUUGGGCAAUGGAGGCAACUCUGACCCAGCCAUGCCGCGUGGAGGAUGAAGGUCCUCUGGAUUGUAAACUUCUUUUAUUUGGGAAGAAAUGCCGAUUUUCUAAUUGGUUUGACGGUACCAGAUGAAUAAGCACCGGCUAACUCCGUGCCAGCAGCCGCCGUAAUAC
rnacentral:rRNA from 1 species